GCACUGCUCCGGCUUGUCGCUGGCCUUUCUGAAAGGAGAGACGAGAGGAAAGUCCGGGCGGCACAGGGCGCUCCACUUCUGAAAGUAGAAGCAGCUGGUGACAGUUGGUCAGGGGAGAAGAGAAUGACCGCCUCGCUUGCGAGGUAAGGGUGAGAAGGUGGUGUAAGAGACCACCAGGCAGCGGGCGAUCGCUGUGCUGUUCCCACUGGAGGCCGCAAGUUCAUGUAUACCAUCGCCAUGUCAGGGUUGCCCGCCCGAGUUCCUUCGUGGAUGCGAUGGAGGGUAGAACGCUAGAGACGUAUGGUGACAUGCGUAGUAGAUAAAUGGCAGGCACCGGCAGCAAUGCUGGCACAGAACCCGGCUUAUAGGGGCAAUGCUUUC
rnacentral:RNase_P_RNA from 1 species